GGUGCAUUGGUCUAAUGGUUAGGAUACUAGACUGUCUAUCUUGGGGUACGAGUUCGAUUCUCGUAUGCGCCG
rnacentral:tRNA from 1 species